rnacentral:lncRNA from 1 species
CAUAAAUGCAUUAAAAUUCAAAACAACAGGUUCACGUGCUUUUAAGUACAUAUCAAACCAGGGACCUGUGAUGUAACUAGUAUGCUUGUUCUGGUUGUCUUGAGCAACCAGUUGCUCAUGCAGCUCUCUUCCAAUUCCCUUUUCAAACUGAUGAGCAAGUUCUUCAGUUUUCCUGAACUGGUCAUCAUUUAAAAGAGGUUUCUGGGCGUUCAGGUAUCUCCUAAUUGUAUCUUCUAGUUUGGGAACAGGCAGUCUGGGCAGGCUCUUCUGGUAGUGCAUGGUGGGCACGAUGCUGCGGUGCAGGAACUCGGCAGCGCCCGCGCUGCUGUACGCCCGCCGCCAACAGCCCAACACGACCCGCCCCACCGCCAGCUGCCGCGCCGCCAUGUUGGCCCGUCACGCGCCGCUCCCCUCACGGCUCCUCCCGCUGCCGCCGCCCCGGUCGGGAUUGAGGAGCGCCCGCCCCGCGGUGGGGACUCCCCUGAGUGUACCCUCGGCCGGGCCUCGCGGGCCGUGAGGGGCUCAGAAGGUCGUCUGAAGGGCCAGCAGUGCCGGCAGCGCUCAGCUCGGGAAGCGCUCCUGGUGCACUGCUUCAUCUGGAAGGUGCUUGUGUGCAUACCGUAGCGGCAGCAUUGUGUCUGCACUGAGAUGGCAGUAUGGGUUCAGUACUUUCUUGCAUAAGCAUUAAUAAAAUUUUACAUGAUUGUGUUGUUUUGUCAGCACUCCCAUUCACCACAUAGAAUCCAUAUAUUUCUCUUCUGUUUUGUGGAUGUGCGCAUGUGUGCCCGUAUGUCUUACAGACCAUACAGUGUUCUAUUUGAGCUUCCAGGACUAUCUGCUGACCCUUGAACUCACUGUUCACUCACCCCUUUGCUCACACAUGAGCACAUACCUACACACCCUGCCUUGCAAUAUAAAACAAAGCACUGCAAAUACCCAAAUUUGUUCUGUGGAGUAUUUUCCAUAAAAAUACUGAACGAUCUCUGAGUAGCUCGGGCUGUGCAGCAGCAUUUCAGUGAGCGCAGCACGGUGAGCAGUCAUGGCUCUGUAUUUCUGCUCAUAACAGCAUUGGUACUGAGUGCAGACACGGUGAAGGAAAGGAAAG